AAUUUGUUCCAAGGAAAAUUGAAGAAAAGUAUACGGGAGGAUUAGGAGGGCCAACGAGAAAAUCAUAUAAGGAUUCUCUUUAAGUUUUUGAAGCUGAUAUUCAACACGACAAUACCCUAGCUGAGCUCCAUUCAUUGUUUCUCAGUUCUAUUAACUUGUUGUACAUAUAAAUUUGUGUACAGGUACAUAUCUAUUCCUGUUCAUCCAUAUUUUCGAUAAAAU
rnacentral:lncRNA from 1 species